GCUGGCGGCGUGCCUAAUACAUGCAAGUCGAACGAACUCUGGUAUUGAUUGGUGCUUGCAUCAUGAUUUACAUUUGAGUGAGUGGCGAACUGGUGAGUAACACGUGGGAAACCUGCCCAGAAGCGGGGGAUAACACCUGGAAACAGAUGCUAAUACCGCAUAACAACUUGGACCGCAUGGUCCGAGUUUGAAAGAUGGCUUCGGCUAUCACUUUUGGAUGGUCCCGCGGCGUAUUAGCUAGAUGGUGGGGUAACGGCUCACCAUGGCAAUGAUACGUAGCCGACCUGAGAGGGUAAUCGGCCACAUUGGGACUGAGACACGGCCCAAACUCCUACGGGAGGCAGCAGUAGGGAAUCUUCCACAAUGGACGAAAGUCUGAUGGAGCAACGCCGCGUGAGUGAAGAAGGGUUUCGGCUCGUAAAACUCUGUUGUUAAAGAAGAACAUAUCUGAGAGUAACUGUUCAGGUAUUGACGGUAUUUAACCAGAAAGCCACGGCUAACUACGUGCCAGCAGCCGCGGUAAUACGUAGGUGGCAAGCGUUGUCCGGAUUUAUUGGGCGUAAAGCGAGCGCAGGCGGUUUUUUAAGUCUGAUGUGAAAGCCUUCGGCUCAACCGAAGAAGUGCAUCGGAAACUGGGAAACUUGAGUGCAGAAGAGGACAGUGGAACUCCAUGUGUAGCGGUGAAAUGCGUAGAUAUAUGGAAGAACACCAGUGGCGAAGGCGGCUGUCUGGUCUGUAACUGACGCUGAGGCUCGAAAGUAUGGGUAGCAAACAGGAUUAGAUACCCUGGUAGUCCAUACCGUAAACGAUGAAUGCUAAGUGUUGGAGGGUUUCCGCCCUUCAGUGCUGCAGCUAACGCAUUAAGCAUUCCGCCUGGGGAGUACGGCCGCAAGGCUGAAACUCAAAGGAAUUGACGGGGGCCCGCACAAGCGGUGGAGCAUGUGGUUUAAUUCGAAGCUACGCGAAGAACCUUACCAGGUCUUGACAUACUAUGCAAAUCUAAGAGAUUAGACGUUCCCUUCGGGGACAUGGAUACAGGUGGUGCAUGGUUGUCGUCAGCUCGUGUCGUGAGAUGUUGGGUAAGUCCCGCAACGAGCGCAACCCUUAUUAUCAGUUGCCAGCAUUAAGUUGGGCACUCUGGUGAGACUGCCGGUGACAAACCGGAGGAAGGUGGGGAUGACGUCAAAUCAUCAUGCCCCUUAUGACCUGGGCUACACACGUGCUACAAUGGAUGGUACAACGAGUUGCGAACUCGCGAGAGUAAGCUAAUCUCUUAAAGCCAUUCUCAGUUCGGAUUGUAGGCUGCAACUCGCCUACAUGAAGUCGGAAUCGCUAGUAAUCGCGGAUCAGCAUGCCGCGGUGAAUACGUUCCCGGGCCUUGUACACACCGCCCGUCACACCAUGAGAGUUUGUAACACCCAAAGUCGGUGGGGUAACCUUUUAGGAACCAGCCGCCUAAGGUGG
rnacentral:rRNA from 1 species